rnacentral:rRNA from 1 species
CAGCAGCCACGGUAAAACGAAGGGGGCUAGCGUUGUUCGGAAUUACUGGGCGUAAAGCGCACGUAGGCGGACAUUUAAGUCAGGGGUGAAAUCCCGGGGCUCAACCCCGGAACUGCCUUUGAUACUGGGUGUCUAGAGUAUGGAAGAGGUGAGUGGAAUUCCGAGUGUAGAGGUGAAAUUCGUAGAUAUUCGGAGGAACACCAGUGGCGAAGGCGGCUCACUGGUCCAUUACUGACGCUGAGGUGCGAAAGCGUGGGGAGCAAACAGGAUUAGAUACCCGAGUAGUCCCUGUCUCUUAUAC